AUACGGGACUCAUCCGAGGCCCCGUAAUCGGAAUGACUACACUUUAAAUCCUUUAAGGAGUAUCAAUUGGAGGGCAAGUCUGGUGCCAGCAGCCGCGGUAAUUCCAGCUCCAAUAGCGUAUAUUAAAGUUGUUGCGGUUAAAAAGCUCGUAGUUGGAUCUGUGUCCCGCACCGUCGGUUCACCGCCCGACGGUGUCAAACUGACGCGAUGCGGGACGUCCUGCCGGUGGCGUGCAGGUGCGUGUUGCCGCAAGGUUUCGCGUGGCCGGCGCCGAUUCAAUCCCGUCGCGGUGCUCUUCAUUGAGUGUCGAGGUGGGCCGGCACGUUUACUUUGAACAAAUUAGAGUGCUUCAAGCAGGCUGGAUAUUGCCUGAAUGCUAGUGCAUGGAAUAAUGGAAUAGGACCUCGGUUCUAUUUUGUUGGUUUUCGGAACCAGAGGUAAUGAUUAAUGGAGACAGGCGGGGGCAUUCGUAUUGCGACGUUAGAGGUGAAAUUCUUGGAUCGUCGCAAGACGGACCGAAGCGAAAGCAUUUGCCAAGGAUGUUCUCGUUGAUCAAGAACGAAAGUCAGAGGUUCGAAGGCGAUCAGAUACCGCCCUAGUUCUGACCAUAAACGAUGCCAGCUAGCGAUCUGCUAAAGUUCCUUUGAUGACUUAGCAGGCAGCUUCCGGGAAACCAAAGCUUUUGGGUUCCGGGGGAAGUAUGGUUGCAAAGCUGAAACUUAAAGGAAUUGACGGAAGGGCACCACCAGGAGUGGAGCCUGCGGCUUAAUUUGACCCAACACGGGAAACCUCACCAGGCCCGGACACUGGAAGGAUUGACAGAUUGAGAGCUCUUUCUUGAUUCAGUGGGUGGUGGUGCAUGGCCGUUCUUAGUUGGUGGAGCGAUUUGUCUGGUUAAUUCCGAUAACGAACGAGACUCUAGCCUGCUAACUAGUCGUUUCCGGCUUCCCUUGUUGCAGCCGGCGAAGACAAAUCUUCUUAGAGGGACAGGCGGCUUCUAGCCGCACGAGAUUGAGCAAUAACAGGUCUGUGAUGCCCUUAGAUGUUCUGGGCCGCACGCGCGCUACAAUGAAGGUAUCAGCGUGUCCUCCCUGGCCGAAAGGUCCGGGUAACCCGCUGAACCACCUUCGUGCUUGGGAUUGGGGCUUGAAAUUGUUCCCCAUGAACGAGGAAUUCCCAGUAAAGGCGUGUCAUUAGCACGCCUUGAUUACGUCCCUGCCCUUUGUACACACCGCCCGUCGCUACUACCGAUUGAAUGAUUUAGUGAGGUCUUCGGACUGGCGCGCGGUGUUCCUUCGGGAUCGCCGCUGCUGCCGGAAAGAUG
rnacentral:rRNA from 1 species